GCUUGCCUGGCUCCCUGAAUGCCAUGUAAGAAGCUUGUCAAAAAGAAUUGACAGCCUUUUUAUUUGGCAUGAGGGGAGUCAUGCAGGC
rfam:Glycine soja cultivar W05 scaffold3028_57, whole genome shotgun sequence.